AGGACUUGGCAGCUCCAGCACAGAGACCUCUAACUACAAUCAAAUUUCCCUUCAAUUUGGACUGAUGAGUGAGUGCUGUUUAUGUUAGGCAGGCUUCAUUGAGGAGGUCAGCCCAUGAGAGCAGGCUCUUCAGAUAUGUGCUCUUCUGAAGGCAGUCCAGCAAAAUCAAUCAAUAAGCAACCACUGUUUUCCUGACCACUGUACCGCAUGGCUGCAAAAAUGCAAGAGAGUCAUUAUUUUAGAAUAUCAGACACCAAACAGUUGUUUUGUUUCCUAGUUUAUAGCCACCUAAUCCACUGGGAGGAAGAAAGUUGGGUUUUGAUGUAAGUUUCUUUUUGCAACCUGGGGCUACUCACCAUAACAGAAUCAUUCAUGCUUCUGAUCUGGAAGACAUCCAUGGAGACCUCUGUGCGGUUGGAGACCUCAUGGCUGCCUGUGUGAUU